CCUGAUCUAUGAUGAAUUUAAAACAAGAGGACUGUUGGAUGAAACUCGCGGAUAUGGGACUGAGAUCAGAU